rnacentral:lncRNA from 1 species
AGCGCGGUCGGAGCUAGCUGCCGGCUGCUGUUGCUAGGGGCGACUCGUCCUGUUGGGUCUGAGGGGGUGGUGCCGUCGGAAAGGUCUUGCUUGGUCUCCUCUCUAGCGGGCGGAGAGUUCCAAUGGUCCAGAUUGCCUGGGCAUCCCUGACCCCUCCGGACCACUUCCCUAGAGGGCAUCCUGUGCCCGACUGCUGGGCUGGCAUUUGCAGAGUACAGAUCUAGGCUGUCUGGAUUAUACUACACAUGAAGAGCCUACUGUUUGCAAAAAUUGACUUUUCUUUCCCGCGGCCACGCUGCAAAGGAUGGAGCUCCAGCAGCGAAGCAGCAGUCACUGGUCUAGCUGAAGAGGAAGGAGCCAGGCUCCUGCUUCGUAACCGAGGCAUCUAGCAUCCAGCCAAAGAACUUUUUUGCCUCUGACUAAGGAGCCACUGGUUAUCGGAGCCGGCUCAAUUGAAUACCCAUUCGGAUGAAAGAGUGAAGUAUAAAAUAACAAGGUAGCACAAAAAGCUGGGAAGAGGGACUCGAUGAGAUCACGUAGACGCCCCCAGGAUCAGAUCCUAAAUGCCGCCUCAGUGUAGCCGCAUAAGAUGCUCAGGCACAGCACGUGACCUAAAGUCUGGAUCUUCAAACACCAGCAUCACAUCCAGAGAGGCCAGAGGGUCCCAAGACAAAACAAGCCGGGGCCAAGACGCACUCAGAGCUCCUAUCUCACCCUCUUAGGGGUGUGCUCGGGGCACCAGAUGGGUUAUUAAAUGUUAUUCUCUUUCUCCCUUUUUGGUUAAGCAGAGGACUGCAGAGGAAAGCCUCUGAAUCAAAUGUUUGCUCCACACAGUUCAACUGAAAUGUAGGUUGUGAUGAGUGGACACGUGCUCCACAGCUAAGAGACCAACCGAGGGCAUCCUAUCCCACUCGUGGGUCUAAGGGGAGACUUACAGAAGGCAUACUUACUCUGAAGAUGGAAUGAUAGCUGAAGAGACAGAGUGAUGCCUAGGGCCUGUCAGACACCCAGUUUAGCCUAAUACAGAAAAGCACGGAGGUGAGAAACAACAGGGUGAAUCCAAGGAAAUUCAACAGGAGCAUGUGAGAGGCAGGAGCCAGGGAGAGUUAGACAUGGCCCGAAACAAGUUCUCCCCUCCACCCUGAGGAAUUCUGGUGCUUCAGCACUGGCUCCUGAAGAAUUGGGGAAACUUCCCAGAAGGUUGUCAGCCUCUCUCCGGCAGGAGCUUUACAGAGGUCUGUGGACACUUCAGAGCACCCACACGGGCCAGAGAAGUAACUGGUCACGAGGCUUCCCCCAGGGGGACUUCCUCACUCAAGCGACACAUUAAACUCUGAGUCAAUGAAUGCCAGAGGUUAGGGGUAAAGAUGACAGCACUUCACCUCAAGCUACCUCCUAGUUUUCAUAAAGUUUGGAAUUGAAGCUGACGAGAUGUAGACUCACCGUAAAGAGCUGGAAGCAGCAAGCAUAUCUGUGGCCCAUGAAAAGGGAGAGGGGGACCAGGAGGGCAUGGGCUGGAGAAGGACGAGGUUGUGUCCAGAGGAAUGGAGCAAUUAAACUUUAAACUAUUCUUUUCAUAA